ACUUCAUACUUGCCAGUAGGCCACAGGCGGUGCGUGAUUACGUGGAAAACAAAGAGAAAAUAGAGGAAGACGGAUCAAUUAUCGUUGGAAUACAAGCACCAGUCAUGCGAAGAAGAGAAAAGAAUGUUACCAAUGAGCCACCAUUAUAUGACGCCCAGUUCGCCGUUUUCGUGGCUAGGAAUGCUAUCUAUUUGAUUGUAUCUAAUGGUGGUCAGCUGACUUCCAUAGAUCUACUGGGUUUCAUGCACCAGAAUCCACAGCUUACGCAUCUUAACGUUGAAAAUUUAUUGAAAAUACUUAGAGCUUAUCCUAAUGUGUUUGAACUGGAAGCCACAAGGAGUGGACGAUCUCAGACGAAUGUGGUUUUAGCUUUUGAGUUUGAGGUAUGCGAUCAGCCAAGGAAAUGUGGUGGAUAUCCAAUGUGUAGAUCCCUACAUGUUUGCAAAUAUUUCCUUCAGAAUAAAUGCAGACAAACUCAGGCACAGAAAUGUCCUUUUGGACAUGAUUUGCACUCUCAGCAUAAUUUGCGGAUUUUACAAGAGAAGUAUAUGGACCACAUUGAUCCGUUUAAACUGAAAGAAUGGAUACAGCAACAACACAACAGACGGUCUAGGACGUCUCGUCCUCCACAGGUCUGCACCUUCUACAACACGGCAGGUGGAUGCAGUAAAAAAGACUCCUGUCAGUUUCUUCAUCUCUGUAGCUUCUUUGUAAGGGGAAGCUGUAAAUUUGGCACUAAAUGCACAAGAAGUCACACACUGCGCGCCAAGCGGAAUAUGGAAGUGUUACGUGAACACGGGAUUGACACUCGCAAAAAUAAAGAACAAAUCCUCGAUAUACUCUGUGAAAACAAGCCCCAGGACAUGCGUCAUGACCACGAGGAAAGGUUUACUCAUACAUAUACUUUUCUUCUUUCGUUUGGAAUGUUUCUAUAUGAUUUGCCUUAUCAAACAAGCCUCUUCCUUGUUGGAAGCUAAUCAUGUAUCUGUUCUUUGCCACUUAUAACAGAUGACUUCUAUGUAACAAACACGUAUAACCAAGAACUAAAAUUGUAGAUACAAGUUUAACGGCCAAUAAAUAAACAAAACAUCUUGUAGGUAGUUUCACUAAUUUCAUUAUCAUUUUCUUUACAGCGAAAUGUCGGAUGAUGAAGAAUUUGAAGACUGUUACAAUGAUUCAGUUGACAAGAAAAAUGAAAUGACGCCCGGAACCCCGUUUCUCGUUUCCGCAAAAUCUGAUCGCAUAACUUUGCAAUGGAAGAAUAUCUGCGGUUUAAGCUCGGACUUCGAAUAUCAAAUUCAGUAUAAAGAGGUUCCAGACGGACGAUGGAUAAUUCACGAGUCAGCAGUAUCCCAUGAUUCAUCCAGAGCGGUUAUAACUGGUUUAAAGUCGCGUACGUCCUACUGCUUCAAAGUUCGUAUUAUAAAUGCCAAAGAAGGAAAGGAACACCCUUUCAGUUCAGAGAGUAAAACAUUUGAUACGCCAGAAUCACCUGGUCUUCAAAUGCAAUAUCGCUCAACUCUCGCUAAAUCUGGAAAUCCAAGUGUAUAUCGUCUUCCUACAAAUGAGGUUAGAGAUGCAAGAAAUCAAAAAGUCAAGUCCAAGAAACUCUCUUUAGGCUCCGGUAGAUUGUGUUUUCAUGAUAAAACAAUCAUGCUGGUUGGGGCAACCGGAAGUGGCAAAAGCACUCUCAUCGACGGUUUUGCGAAUUACUUGUUUGAAGUGAAUUGGGAAGACGAUUUCCGUUUUACUUUAGUUAACCUUGAAGAUGAAGAAAAAAGAAGACACAAAGAUCAAGUAACUUUUUAAACUUUAUCCAUCCAACUAGAGAUAUAAACUUUUUAAAACAAAAAAGUUUGCAUACGAAUUGAAGUUGGCAAUAUUAAAAGACCUCUCUUUCCCUCAUUACUAUUAUUUUCUCACCUUUAGGCGGUAUCACAGACAGAAUGGAUCACAUGCUACAGUAUAUACCCCGAUGUUGCAACCAAAUUAGACUACGCGCUUCAUAUUGUAGACACACCGGGGUUCGGGGACACCAGAGGAGUACAACGUGACAAAGAAAUAAUAGAACAGAUUCGAGAGAUGUUUCUUUUACCAGGAGAUAAAGGAAUGGCUUGUCUUGAUGCCGUAUGUUUUUUGGUAAAAGCCCCAGAUGCCCGACUAACGCCUUCGCAGAAGUAUAUACUAGAUGCCAUUCUGUCUUUGUUUGGAAAAGAUAUGGAAGAUAACAUUUGCAUCUGCAUUACAUUUGCCGAGGCACAAGAACCUCCAGUGCUGGCUUCGUUGGCAAAAUCUCGUCUGCCACACAAGUAUUAUUUCAAGUUUAAUAAUUCCGCAUUGUUUGCUGGCAACCAAGGUAAAGAUGAUCUUGCAUCUGGCUUUUGGAAAAUUGGAAUGAAUAGUUUUGACAGUUUCUUCGAACGUCUAGAUCGAAUGGAAACAAAAAGUUUGCAGAUGACAAAGGAAGUUCUGAAGACGAGACAAGAUCUCGAAAAUACUGUCCAUAAUCUGCAAAGCUUGAUCACAGCGGGAAUAGGAAGAAUCUCUGUACUGGAAGAAGAAAUGUAUAUAUUUAAAAAACACAAAAAACAAAUACAGGAAAACAAAGACUUUGUUUACGAGGUAACAGAACAAGUACAGGAGAAAGAAGAUAUAUCAGGGAAAGGACAGCACACUACAAACUGCUUGACCUGCAAUUACACCUGCCACGAAAAUUGUCUCAUUCCCGAUGAUUCUCGAAAAUCUAGUUGCAUAGCAAUGGACAAAUCCGGAAAGUGCAAACAAUGUCCAGGAAAUUGCCAGUGGCAAUCCCAUCACAACACCCCGUAUAUCAUACGAUGGGUUUCAAAGAAAGUAACAAAAACCUACCGUGAAAAGUUGCAGCUUUAUACAACAGCCAAAGAGCAGGUUAGCUCACAAACAGAAGUCUUGCAAAAAAUGGCAGAAAACGUCAAAAAACUAGAAAAAGGUAUUGUCCAACUUCUAAGCAAGGUAACCGAAUGUAACAACAAGCUGAAAGAAAUCGCUCUCAAUGAGAAUCCGAUGAAUACGGCAGAAUACAUUGAAUUAAUGAUAGAGGGUGAAAAGAGAGAGCGGAAAUCUGGCUAUAUGUCUCGUAUCAAAGUUUUAGAAGAGUGUAGACGCGAAGCAUUGAUUGGUCGCGAAGCAACCGACUUCUUAUAUAAAGCACAGCAAACUAGACACAGCGCCACGUCCAAAGGUGUCACAACUUCUGGAUCCGUUAUAUCCAGCAUGCACUCUCUGAUGAGACUUUCCUAGAAAUUUCCAUGUGCGUUCAUUAGUAUAGAAGUUUCUUGACAUGUCUAUGAAAAUAUGUGUAACAGUGUGAUUUUUACUGUUCAAAGAUAUGAAGAAAUAGCUCAUGAA
rnacentral:misc_RNA from 1 species